rnacentral:lncRNA from 1 species
AAAUGACUAAAAUAGGUUUUAUUAAAGAGCAAAAAGACUAAGCUUAUUUUAAUAAUAAUACAUUUAAUAAAAAUAAAUAUUAAAAAUAAUAUAUAAAAAAUAUUAUUUAAAAUGUAUAUUUUAAAUUCUAAAUUCCAGAUCCUAAACCCUAAUCUUCAAUUCCUAAAUCCCCUCUCUCGAAAUAUAAACUCUAAAUCUAGAUUAAUUAAUCCAAAUUAUAUAGAUAUAUUUUUGCUAUUUAAUGAAACUUAAUUUUUCUUUAUGUGCUAUUUUAAAACUUUUAUGCUAUUAAAAAAUAUUUUUUCUUAAUAAAACAGUAAAAUUCCUUUUAGGUAAUUAUAAAUUAUUUUAAAUUAAUUAUAAUACGCAACAUUAUACUAACUAAACAUGUGAAUAAUACAGCAUCCAC